rnacentral:rRNA from 1 species
AUUGAACGCUGGCGGCAUGCCUUACACAUGCAAGUCGAACGGUAACAGGUCUUCGGAUGCUGACGAGUGGCGAACGGGUGAGUAAUACAUCGGAACGUGCCCGAUCGUGGGGGAUAACGCAGCGAAAGCUGUGCUAAUACCGCAUACGAUCUACGGAUGAAAGCGGGGGAUCGCAAGACCUCGCGCGGACGGAGCGGCCGAUGGCAGAUUAGGUAGUUGGUGGGAUAAAAGCUUACCAAGCCGACGAUCUGUAGCUGGUCUGAGAGGACGACCAGCCACACUGGGACUGAGACACGGCCCAGACUCCUACGGGAGGCAGCAGUGAGGAAUAUUGGUCAAUGGGCGAGAGCCUGAACCAGCCAUGUCGCGUGCAGGACUACGGCCCUACGGGUCUUAAACUGCUUUUGCCGGGGAUAAAGUCGGGGUUCGCCCCCGUUCGCAGGUACCCGGCGAAUAAGGAUCGGCUAACUCCGUGCCAGCAGCCGCGGUAAUCU